CCUACGGGGGGCAGCAGUGGGGAAUAUUGGACAAUGGGCGAAAGCCUGAUCCAGCCAUGCCGCGUGUGUGAAGAAGGCCUUCGGGUUGUAAAGCACUUUCAGUGGGGAAGAAAGCCUUGGGGCUAAUACCCUCGAGGAAGGACAUCACCCACAGAAGAAGCACCGGCUAACUCCGUGCCAGCAGCCGCGGUAAUACGGAGGGUGCGAGCGUUAAUCGGAAUUACUGGGCGUAAAGCGCGCGUAGGCGGUCUGAUAAGCCGGUUGUGAAAGCCCCGGGCUCAACCUGGGAACGGCAUCCGGAACUGGCAGGCUAGAGUGAAGGAGAGGAAGGUAGAAUUCCCGGUGUAGCGGUGAAAUGCGUAGAGAUCGGGAGGAAUACCAGUGGCGAAGGCGGCCUUCUGGACUGACACUGACGCUGAGGUGCGAAAGCGUGGGUAGCAAACAGGAUUAGAUACCCGAGUAGUC
rnacentral:rRNA from 1 species